rnacentral:SRP_RNA from 1 species
GCCAGGUGGGGUGGUGCACACCUGUAAUCUCAGCUACUCGGGAGGCUGAGGCAGGAGAAUCACUUGAGCUUGGGAGGCAGAGGUUGCAGUGAGCUGAGAUCGUGCCACUGUACCCCAGCCUGGGCGACAAAGUGAGACUCUGUCUCUA